UACGUAGGGUGCAAGCGUUAAUCGGAAUUACUGGGCGUAAAGCGUGCGCAGGCGGUCUUGUAAGACAGAUGUGAAAUCCCCGGGCUCAACCUGGGAACUGCCUUUGUGACUGCAAGGCUGGAGUGCGGCAGAGGGGGAUGGAAUUCCGCGUGUAGCAGUGAAAUGCGUAGAUAUGCGGAGGAAGACCGGUGGCGAAGGCAAUCCCCUGGGCCUGCACUGACGCUCAUGCGCGAAAGCGUGGGGAGCAAACAGG
rnacentral:rRNA from 1 species